GACGGAGGAUGCAAGCGUUAUCCGGAAUGAUUGGGCGUAAAGCGUCCGCAGGUGGCAGUUCAAGUCUGCUGUCAAAGACCGGGGCUUAACUUCGGAAAGGCAGUGGAAACUGAACAGCUAGAGUAUGGUAGGGGCAGAGGGAAUUCCUGGUGUAGCGGUGAAAUGCGUAGAUAUCAGGAAGAACAUCGGUGGCGAAGGCGCUCUGCUGGACCAUAACUGACACUCAGGGACGAAAGCUAGGGGAGCAAACAGG
rnacentral:rRNA from 1 species